rnacentral:lncRNA from 1 species
AAGAACCAACCAGAGACCACUUAUUCUCCUCCCCUUCUGACCCCAGAAGAGGACUUUCCUCUUUGAAGCAAGUGCUCAGCCUCUUCUGUAGCUGCCAGAGGAGAUCAGAGGCCCCCAGGGAGCCAGAACCCUCUCUCCCCACCCCCACCACACAGGCAGCCCCAUCAGAGCAUCCUGGUCUGAGCACAGAGCCUGGGACCCUAGGCACACGUUCUCUGGCUUCUGCAGAAACGUUGUUCUCCAUGGGGUGAGACCCAAGGAGCAUGACUUAGCAUGACUCAGUGAGAGCCCAGGGAAAGUGAGGGCGGCUGUGGUUUCUCCUCUUCCUGUGGAAAGGUCAGCUGAUCCUGGGCCUGGGCUGCAAGCCUGACAUCCUUGCUCUGUUCACUUGGCUCCACAGCCCCACCUCCUCCUCCCUCAGGGCCAGGAUGACACCUCAGGGGACUCACAUCUGAAUCAUCCCGGGAGAUGGAGAGGGAGGAAAUGAGAGGAAUUCUCAGGGAGACAGGCAAAGAUGUAAAUAACUCCUAAGCUCGCAUGCUAGGUGCUAUAGAACGUCCAAGAAGAAUACAAGUGUGAUCCUGACUGAGCUAUCAUGUCUUCGCCCAGAGGACUAACUUGGGGAAAGCAUCGCCCUGAGCUAACAUCUGUUGCCAAUCUUCUUUUUUAUUUCCUCCCCAAAGCCCCAGUGCCUGGUUGUAUGUUCUGGUUGUAAGUCAUUUCAGUUCUAUGUGAGCUGUCACCACAGUGUGGCAUCUGACAAACGGGUGGUGUGUUUCUGCAACUGGGAAACAAACGCUGGCCGCCAAGGCGGUGAGCAUUGAAAUUUAACCACUAGGCCAUCAGGACUGGCCCCAUAAAGCCUUUUUAACAAGACCCAAAGUACAGUUGGUGCACCUCUUCUCUGAACUCCUACACAGGCUGUAAGCAAUCAAUU